ACGGGUGAGUAACGCGUAAGCAACCUGCCCUUCAGAUGGGGACAACAGCUGGAAACGGCUGCUAAUACCGAAUACGUUCUUUUUGUCGCAUGGCAGAGGGAAGAAAGGGAGGCUCUUCGGAGCUUUCGCUGAAGGAGGGGCUUGCGUCUGAUUAGCUAGUUGGAGGGCUAACGGCCCACCAAGGCGACGAUCAGUAGCCGGUCUGAGAGGAUGAACGGCCACAUUGGGACUGAGACACGGCCCAGACUCCUACGGGAGGCAGCAGUGGGGAAUCUUCCGCAAUGGACGAAAGUCUGACAGAGCAACGCCGCGUGAACGAUGACGGCCUUCGGGUUGUAAAGUUCUGUUAUACGGGACGAAUGGUACGACGGUCAAUACCCGUCGUAGUGACGGUACUGUAAGAGAAAGCCACGGCUAACUACGUGCCAGCAGCCGCGGUAAUACGUAGGUGGCAAGCGUUGUCCGGAAUUAUUGGGCGUAAAGGGCGCGCAGGCGGCGUCGUAAGUCGGUCUUAAAAGUGCGGGGC
rnacentral:rRNA from 1 species